rnacentral:rRNA from 1 species
AGGGCACCACCAGGAGUGGAGCCUGCGGCUUAAUUUGACCCAACACGGGAAAACUCACCCGGCCCGGACACUGGAAGGAUUGACAGAUUGAGAGCUCUUUCUUGAUUCAGUGGGUGGUGGUGCAUGGCCGUUCUUAGUUGGUGGAGUGAUUUGUCUGGUUAAUUCCGAUAACGAACGAGACUCUAGCCUACUAAAUAGAUAGUCGGCUUACAAACGUCGACUAGACUUCUUAGAGGGACAGGCGGUGAUUCAACCGCACGAAACAGAGCAAUAACAGGUCUGUGAUGCCCUUAGAUGUCCGGGGCCGCACGCGCGCUACACUGAAGUGAUCAGCGUGCUUUUUCAGCCUACUCUGUCAAGAGUGGGAAACCCAAUGAACCUUCUUCGUGAUUGGGAUAGGGGAUUGUAAUUAUUCCCCUUGAACGAGGAAUUCCCAGUAAGCGCGAGUCAUAAGCUCGCGUUGAUUACGUCCCUGCCCUUUGUACACACCGCCCGUCACUACUACCGAUUGAAUGUUUU